UGGAAUGGCAGCGAUAACUACUUAUUUGAAUGACAACGCCGGUCGUUUCAUUAUUCCCAUCUUUGUGGACACACUUCAGGGCUUCCACAUCGACAGACAGUGAUAUUGUUGACGUCCUGGGGAGGACGUGACGGACGUAACGAGAUAUACCUGGUUACAGACAGUCAGAUACCACUCAAUUGUGAGGAGUUGCUAGACAACGCACUACGGAAAAUGAUGUGAAGCUGUCCUCAAUGCUCAAGUCGCUGUGCACGAUGGUGUACGGACUACUAGCCUCUACAGGUCUCUACUACCAACUACCAGCCACUACUAUCAGACUAUAUUCAGUACAUUGGCCAGCUAACCUGUUCUUGGUAUGCAUUGGCACGCAGAGGUUCUGAAUGUGGGAGGAAUCCGGAGAACACGAGAAAUCCCACGUGGUCUGGCAGGUGACCCAAUACCUUUUCACGUCCGAUUGGCGAAACGAACCCCGGCCGUCUUGGUGACAGGCGAGUUCCUUUCCAAUGCGCCACCCUUUCACCCUAAGAUGAGUACCCCUUGUGAAUGUUCUCAAAGACAAAAAAAAAUACAGGCUGAGACUUAAAUUCUGAAAGGUUUUUUUCCCAUAAAAUUUCUGAUCUGCUUUCUAUUUAUUAAAAUUCGAAAUUUAUACGGGAAUUUGUAUACAUGUAAGCAAUCUUGUAUUUUAGUGAAACAAAUAUUGAUUAGAUAUUAGAAAAUUGAUUUACAUGUAUGUAUAUAAAACUCAGCUGAAUACUAAUUUUGUACACGAUCCGAUGUGGUUUUUUUUUAUGUUUUGGGAGUAUAAAUGAUAUCUGGAUAUAUACAUAUAACACAGCUUGAAUGAUACAUUGACAAUGUCAUUUUCUAUAACAGUGGUUUAGAAAUCUCUGGAAUUCAUCUGUAGUUGGAGGAGUCCCGGACAGAUGUAACUGGCACAUAUAUAUCUGAUUGCCUGUAAGUGAAUUACACGCAAUAGGACAUUAUGUAAUGUAAAUAAAUUGUCUAUUGAA